UUGAUCCUGGCUCAGAUUGAACGCUGGCGGCAUGCCUUACACAUGCAAGUCGAACGGCAGCACGGGAGCAAUCCUGGUGGCGAGUGGCGAACGGGUGAGUAAUAUAUCGGAACGUGCCCAGUCGUGGGGGAUAACGUAGAGAAAUUUACGCUAAUACCGCAUACGAUCUAAGGAUGAAAGCGGGGGACUCGCAAGAGCCUCGCGCGAUUGGAGCGGCUGAUAUCAGAUUAGGUUGUUGGUGAGGUAAAAGCUCACCAAGCCGACGAUCUGUAGCUGGUUUGAGAGAACGACCAGCCACACUGGGACUGAGACACGGCCCAGACUCCUACGGGAGGCAGCAGUGGGGAAUUUUGGACAAUGGGCGAAAGCCUGAUCCAGCAAUGCCGCGUGCAGGAAGAAGGCCUUCGGGUUGUAAACUGCUUUUGUACGGAACGAAAAGGCCCUUUCUAAUAAAGAGGGCCCAUGAC
rnacentral:rRNA from 1 species